AACGAACGCUGGCGGCGUGGAUAAGACAUGCAAGUCGAACGGGGCAGGUAGCAAUAUCUGUCUAGUGGCGAACGGGUGCGUAACACGUGGGCAACAUGCCUGAAAGCGCGGGAUAGCCCGGGGAAACUCGGAUUAAUACCGCAUGUGACAACGGGGCGGAGUCGCUUUGUUGUUAAAGGUGGGGACCGCAAGGCCUGCCGCUUUCAGAUUGGCCCGCGGCCUAUCAGCUAGUUGGCGAGGUAAAAGCUCACCAAGGCGACGACGGGUAGCUGGUCUGAGAGGACGACCAGCCACACUGGAACUGAGACACGGUCCAGACACCUACGGGAGGCUG
rnacentral:rRNA from 1 species